CCUCACCGACGCGUCGUUCGGCUACUCUUCCCACGAGGUAGACACCAUCACAGAGGUUAUGUACUCAUGGCAGGCUCUUAUUGACCACUCUCACAUGAACCUCCAAGGAACUCUUGCGAACGCCCCUAAGCUGUACGUCGGCGCGCUUCCCGGUGACCUACCGGUCGCUGACAUCACCGGCUACCGAAACGGAUUCUUCUUCGCCCUCUCAAUCGGCUUCUGCUUGCCUCUGGUGGGGCGCAUACGCGACGUCACGGCGGAGAU